GCUGUUGCUAGCCCAGGCACUCCCAGCUCUGUCAUAAGGCCAUGGGCAUGAUGUCACCCCUGCCUCCCUCUGACCACCUGUACUAAUCCUUUGAGUCAGACUGGAUCCCACUCCCAGUCUACUUGAGGGCCAGGGAGCAAGAUCACAGGUGCUCAGAGAACUGUCACAGUCUGCACCUGAAGCUGCAGCGUCCCCUGUAUGAGUGAUGAACCUUUGGCAUAGGAGCGCCCCGGUUUCGAGAGCGGGAGUCGGUUUGGCAGCAUGGAGGACCCAGAUUCCUUUGGCUUUCCUGCUUCACCCAUGCUCUUAGCUCCAUCUCAGCGGCCAACACCCUGGGAAGGAGCACCACACAGGAAGGGGCUGUGCAUUUCAACUAGUUCUACCCCCAGCUGUUAAGACACCGGGCAAGACGCCCAGGGAAACAAGGUUUUGCCUGUAAACUGAAAAGAAGAGCGUCGGGAGGAAAUACCAGGGAUAAUUUGAAGUGGGCAGCUGAAGAAAUCCAGGCUGUCAACACCUUCGAUGAAAAGAACUACUUGGAGUGCCACCGUGGGUCCACCCCCGAGUGGGGGGUGGGGAGGGGUGGGCUAUGGUUGGGAAGCUUUCUGGAGGCCUCAUGCUGGGACAUCAGGUGGCUCACCCCCAACAAGCUGAAACCGGAUAUUGCUGCCAAGUUCCUUGGAAGGCUCAACUUUGUUGCCCUUGAAAAUUUGUAUCUGUAAAAAGGCAGGGUGGGCCUGGUGUGAUGGCGCACGCCUUUAAUCCCAGCACUCGGGAGGCAGAGGCAGGCGGAUUUCUGAGUUCAAGGCCAGCCUGGUCUACAAAGUGAGUUCCAGAGCCAGAGCUAUACAGAAAAAAACCUGUCUCAAAAAAACCAAACCAAACCAAACCAAAACAAAACAGAACAAAAAGGCAGGGUGGCCUGGGGACUGAGGGUGGGUUCUGGGUUUAGGAUGCUCACACCAGUGCAUGGGACUUGCACCAUUACUGUUAGCAUUUCUUCUAGGCUCCACUCCACAGUUACCUGGCAAUAGCCAGGU
rnacentral:lncRNA from 1 species